rnacentral:misc_RNA from 1 species
GAUGAAGAACGCAGCGAAAUGCGAUAAGUAAUGUGAAUUGCAGAAUUCAGUGAAUCAUCGAAUCUUUGAACGCACAUUGCGCCCGCCAGUAUUCUGGCGGGCAUGCCUGUCUGAGCGUCAUUUCAACCCUCAUGCCCCUAGGGCGUGGUGUUGGGGAUCGGCCAAAGCCCGCGAGGGACGGCCGGCCCCUAAAUCUAGUGGCGGACCCGUCGUGGCCUCCUCUGCGAAGUAGUGAUAUUCCGCAUCGGAGAGCGAUGAGCCCCUGCCGUUAAACCCCCAACUUUCCAAGGUUGACCUCAGAUCAGGUAGGAAUACCCGCUGAACUUAAGCAUAUCAAUAGCGAGA